rnacentral:rRNA from 1 species
GAAGGACGUGACUAACGACGAAAUGCUUUGGGGAGCUGUAAGUAAGCAAUGAUCCAGAGAUGUCCGAAUGGGGGAACCCGGCAGGUAAUGCCUGUCACUCAUUACUGUUAAGGUAAUGUAGAGGAAGACGCAGUGAACUGAAACAUCUAAGUAGCUGUAGGAAGAGAAAGCAAAAGCGAUUGCCUUAGUAGCGGCGAGCGAAACGGCAAGAGGGCAAACCGAAGAGUUUACUCUUCGGGGUUGUAGGACUGCAACGUGGACUUAAAGAUUAUAGAAGAACUACCUGGGAAGGUAGGCCAAAGAGAGUAAUAGCCUCGUAUUCGAAAUAGUCUUUAUACCUAGCAGUAUCCUGAGUACGGCGAGACACGAGAAAUCUCGUCGGAAUCUGGGAGGACCAUCUCCCAACCCUAAANNNNNNNNNNNNNNNNNNNNNNNNNGAAUGAACCGGCGAGUUACGAUAUGAUGCGAGGUUAAGUUGAAGAGACGGAGCCGUAGGGAAACCGAGUCUUAAUAGGGCGCAUUAGUAUCAUGUCGUAGACCCGAAACCAUGUGACCUACCCAUGAGCAGGUUGAAGGUGAGGUAAAACUCACUGGAGGACCGAACCAGGGCACGUUGAAAAGUGCUUGGAUGACUUGUGGGUAGCGGAGAAAUUCCAAACGAACUUGGAGAUAGCUGGUUCUCUCCGAAAUAGCUUUAGGGCUAGCGUCGAUGUUAAGUCUCUUGGAGGUAGAGCACUGUUUGGGUGAGGGGUCCAUCCCGGAUUACCAAUCUCAGAUAAACUCCGAAUGCCAAUGAGAUAUAAUCGGCAGUCAGACUGCGAGUGCUAAGAUCCGUAGUCGAAAGGGAAACAGCCCAGACCACCAGCUAAGGUCCCAAAAUAUAUGUUAAGUGGAAAAGGAUGUGGGGUUGCACAGACAACUAGGAUGUUAGCUUAGAAGCAGCUAUUCAUUCAAAGAGUGCGUAAUAGCUCACUAGUCGAGUGACCCUGCGCCGAAAAUGUACCGGGGCUAAAACAUAUUACCGAAGCUGUGGAUACCU